rnacentral:lncRNA from 1 species
AGGGCAGCCGUGCCGGGGCAGCCUGCCUGCUCCGAAGGCGGCGUUCCCACCGCGGUCAGAGCGGAGCCAGCGCCACGCUGCAGAUAUAAGGCCUGAGCUAGGAGCAGCUGGAACUGGCAAUGGCAUCAUUCAUGUAGGCACAGGCUCCUUGGCCGUGAACCGGGAACCUGCGGAGCAAGGAAAGGCAAUGCCAGGUUGGUCGCGAUGCCCCCGAGCGAGCCCGGCGCCCACCGGCAGCGACCCGACACGCAGCGGUACCGAGCGACCCCUCCCCGUUUCUCCGUACCACCAAUCCGCGCCGCGCCUGCUACAGGUUCCACCCCCCCGCCGCCCCGCCCAAUCACCGCCCACACCRCCUGAGUGGCAGACGGUGCAUCCAAUCACGAUGAGAGACACUUUGCACCUCCCCCCCCCCAGGGCAGCUAUAACCGUUCACUUCCGCACCAAGAGAACAGUUGAACGCGGAGCGGCACCUCGGGCUGAGACGUCCUCUGUACAAGCAGGAAGUAGUUCGGUGCUGGAAGCGUCCUGGGCUCUUYGCGGGUGACAGCGGGUCGGCGAAUUUGGGGACAGAGACGCCCUCCUGCACUUACUGCCCUGGGAUUGGAGGUACGUUGGCCGCCGAGGCAACGCGUGGGUAAGGUCAGGUCUCCCCCUUUUUGCCUUCCUCUCCCCCCCCCAGCGUGUGUUCUGCUGCAGCUCACCCGCCCGGCGCGGCUCUUGCCGGCCGCCGCCCCUCCUGCCUGCCUGCCAGCCGCCGCCCCUCCUGCCUGCCUGCCAGCCUGCUGCCAGCCGCCGCCCCUUGCUCCCUCUGUUGCUCUGCACCUGUGUCUUCUCCGCUGCCUCCUGUCAGAGCUCUUCUGCCUCCCUCCCGCCGUCCUGUCAAGUGUUUGCUCUUUCCCGGCACGCGCUGGGUGAGCGAUGGGUUUUUCUUUCCCUUCGCUGCCCCGCAGGCCUGGGGCGCCCUUCUUCCAAGAUCGGCCUGACACGAGGGUUGCGGUGGUGGGGUGGGGCCCUCUCCGGGUGCUGGGGUGGCCCUGUGGGGCAGAGCUGGGAGCGGGCCUGGAGCGGCUGAGCGCCCGGUGGUGGGGAGGGAGCUGGGCACGUCCAGGAGGUGCCGGGCUGGGAUUGGGCGAGGGCUGAUCUCUGUCCUCGCUGACCCU